rnacentral:sRNA from 1 species
AGGGCAGGGGGGUAUCCGCGGUCCCACGGCGGUUCCUGUCCUCGACCGGCCGCGCGGCCCUGCGCGGUCGCUGGUUGUCGCUCGGGGGUGAUCGCCG